CGUAGGUGAACCUGCGGAAUGGAUCAUUAUCAAAUCCUAGCCGCUGUCGACUUUUUUGUGGUUGCAGUGGUGAAACACCGUGCACUGGCGCCGGAGGUGGGAGAUCUCCGUUCGGUGAAGUGGGGUGCGCAGCCGGUGCUGUUAUGCAGAGCUGCACUUAAAUCGACGGGCCGAUCAUCACGAACCGCCCGUCGGGCCUCACACCGACCGCUCCCGUCUUUGGUUUUUUUUCUUUCCACUUUGAAACUUUGUAAUAUUUAUUUGGUGCUGUGCGUUGAUCGAUAGAAAAUUGACAACUUCUGACGGUGGAUCUCUUGGCUCGUGCAUCGAUGAAGAACGCAGCAAGCUGCGAUACCUAGUGUGAAUUGCAGAAUUCAGUGAAUCAUCGAGUCUUUGAACGCAAAUGGCGCUCCCGGGGUCUCCUCGGGAGCAGGUCUGUCCGAGCGUCCGCCAACAAACAGGCCGUCACCGUGCGUGACGGGAAUGAGGAACUGCAGAUGCGCUGUUGUCUGCACCCCUUGAAGAGCGUGUGCGACCCGGAACCGUGCCACCGAGUACAGGCCGACGGUUGUGACAACGGCAUGACAUGUUGUCUCACCGGUACUGGCUGUACGUCGGUGACAUACAGCGGAUUGCAUUCGUCGGGACAUG
rnacentral:misc_RNA from 1 species